UUGAACUGAAGUCGGAAAGGCAUUUGAUGGUACCAUAAAGGUUAUAACUGUUCACUUCUAAUUAUUGAAUCGGAUAUUUUCAUUAUUUGCAUUUUGGAGAACUACUGAGAAUCGCGAAUUUUGAUUUCAGUAUGCUUCUUGUUUUCAACCUGUUUUUUGUAGUCAUUAUUUCCUCAGUCAAUGCUAACCGAGAUGAUAUAUACAUAAAUGCAGUCGACGAUCAUCAUUCACAUGAUCACGAACACACUGUUUGGAAGAUCAACCCGAAGUUCAGCAAAGAUGAUCGAGGUAAUACUUUUCUAGCCCUCGAUUUGAUGAAAGAAUUUGGGGAUAAUGCAGUCAGCCUCCAAAUUAAAAAGGUUCUUUUUGGGCCAGAUAAAGAAGGAAUGAUGAAGAUAUCUGGUGCUUUCGAUUGGAAUAUAUGAGUCCUAUAUGCGAGUCAAUAACUUUUCGAAUUGUAUAAAUUGAUUCAGAAAUAUAAAUUGAUAAUUAAUUGUAUAGAAAAUAAUAUUUAAGAAUUUAUAUUAAAACUAUUGAGCUAUGU